CUUUUCCAGAGGACCAAGACUACAUUUACCUCAUCACAGCUGGAAACACCAAGCAGAGCUCAGAGUCCUCUGGAGGAAUACAUUGGCACUGGGAGGGAUCUACGGGGAGGUCCUGCCCAGCAUGCUCUGGGGCGGGGCCACGUCCGGGGGCAGGGCCUGAGAGACUCUGAGAGCCUGUUUGGCUUCUUGAGGGCGACGGCACCAGCAACGUGGCCAGACAUCUCACCUCAGGCUUCUGGAAGAUAUGAGUUGAGAUUUAACUCAAAGACAGGUUCUGAGGAAGGUUUCUGGAUGCCUGAGUGACCUUCCCCACUUCCCAGCCGGAAGGAUCCUUUCCUCCAUCUGAUAUUUCCAUUACGGUAUGCAGGCCCUCACAGCCCCUGGGCCCCCAAACUCUCACUCCAGGCCCAGCCUUAGAAGGCGCUCAGAGGCCUGGGGGCAGGGCUGCGCCUACCCAACACCACCCCCUUUGACGAUGGCACUCUGAGGAACUCCACCAAGGGUUCAUGGGCUGGUUGUCGGUGCCAAGGGAGUUUAAAACAUGGGGAUUGGGCCUAACCAAGGAGAAGAGGGUCUUCCUCACCCACCCCUCAGGAGCUGAU
rnacentral:lncRNA from 1 species